rnacentral:rRNA from 1 species
AACCUGCCCAAGAGAUCGGGAUAACACCUGGAAACAGAUGCUAAUACCGGAUAACAANAGAUGAUGCCUAUCAACUGUUUAAAAGAUGGUUCUGCUAUCACUCUUGGAUGGACCUGCGGUGCAUUAGCUAGUUGGUAGGGUAACGGCCUACCAAGACGAUGAUGCAUAGCCGAGUUGAGAGACUGAUCGGCCACAUUGGGACUGAGACACGCCCAAACUCCUACGGGAGGCAGCAGGC